rnacentral:rRNA from 1 species
UGGGGAAUAUUGCACAAUGGAGGGAACUCUGAUGCAGCGACGCCGCGUGAACGAAGAAGGCUUUCGAGUCGUAAAGUUCUUUUAUAUGGGAAGAUAAUGACGGUACCAUAAGAAAAAGCCCCGGCUAACUACGUGCCAGCAGCCGCGGUAAUACGUAGGGGGCUAGCGUUGUCCGGAAUCACUGGGCGUAAAGCGAGCGCAGGCGGUUAGAUAAGUCUGAAGUUAAAGGCAGUGGCUCAACCAUUGUAGGCUUUGGAAACUGUUUAACUUGAGUGCAGAAGGGGAGAGUGGAAUUCCAUGUGUAGCGGUGAAAUGCGUAGAUAUAUGGAGGAACACCGGUGGCGAAAGCGGCUCUCUGGUCUGUAACUGACGCUGAGGCUCGAAAGCGUGGGGAGCGAACAGG